UACGUAGGUGGCAAGCGUUGUCCGGAAUUAUUGGGCGUAAAGCGCGCGCAGGCGGUUUCUUAAGUCUGAUGUGAAAGCCCACGGCUCAACCGUGGAGGGUCAUUGGAAACUGGGGAACUUGAGUGCAGAAGAGAAGAGCGGAAUUCCACGUGUAGCGGUGAAAUGCGUAGAGAUGUGGAGGAACACCAGUGGCGAAGGCGGCUCUUUGGCCUGUAACUGACGCUGAGGCGCGAAAGCGUGGGGAGCAAACAGG
rnacentral:rRNA from 1 species